rnacentral:piRNA from 1 species
UCUGAAGUGCUUGCCUCUCUGAGU